GUAAUUUAUCAUUAAAAGGAAGAUAAAAAUUUUUCAAAUUUACAAUUUUUCAGUUCAACCAAAUGGUAACUUUCACCACACAUUUUCAUUCAUGUCUACCUUUGUUCUCUGCAGAGUUGUGACCCCAGCCAGAACCUGACAGAGCUAUGUACAGAAAGCAAUAAAGAGACAACAUGGAUGACCCAGGCAGUGGAGUUUUUGACCUUAAUGGCAGUUGGUGAAAUCUGGAAGUGGUGAAAAAGCAAUUCCUUCCCUGAGGACUCAUGAGCUAUGCUGUGCAAAAUGAGGUAUCCCUUCCUUCCUAGCUCUGAGUUUGCUGUUUGACACUACUGCCUCUUAUAAUGUCUGCACACAAGUUUUUAUCUAUCUUCUGAGUGUCUUUAAGCUUCUCCUUUUAGAUUCAGGAAAUUAAUUUCCAAAAAUACCUUAUAAAGUCUAAAUAAUUUUUAAAUUAUUGAUGUUUGAAUGUUUUAGGUGGAAUAAGAUAUGUGUUUUUCACAGAAUAAUUAAGUAUGUAUUUUGACCAACAGUAAACAAUCUCUUUUAGCUUUAUAUAAACAUGAUAAAACUCAAAGCCCUCAAAAUCUGACUCGGAAUAAAAUACAAAAUUAUAUUUAAGGUCA
rnacentral:lncRNA from 1 species